CCUACGGGAGGCAGCAGUGGGGAAUAUUGGGCAAUGGACGCAAGUCUGACCCAGCAACGCCGCGUGAAGGAAGAAGGCUUUCGGGUUGUAAACUUCUUUUAAGGGGGAAGAGCAGAAGACGGUACCCCUUGAAUAAGCCACGGCUAACUACGUGCCAGCAGCCGCGGUAAUACGUAGGUGGCAAGCGUUGUCCGGAUUUACUGGGUGGAAAGGGCGUGCAGCCGGAGAGACAAGUCAGAUGUGAAAUCCAUGGGCUCAACCCGUGAACUGCAUUUGAAACUGUUUCCCUUGAGUGUCGGAGAGGUAAUCGGAAUUCCUUGUGUAGCGGUGAAAUGCGUAGAUAUAAGGAAGAACACCAGUGGCGAAGGCGGAUUACUGGACGAUAACUGACGGUGAGGCGCGAAAGCGUGGGGAGCAAACAGGAUUAGAUACCCGUGUAGUC
rnacentral:rRNA from 1 species